rnacentral:rRNA from 1 species
AUUGAACGCUGGCGGCAGGCCUAACACAUGCAAGUCGAACGAGUGGCGGACGGGUGAUUACUGUCUGGGAAAAUGCCCGAUGGAGAGGGAUAAAUACUGGAAACGGUAGCUAAUACCGCAUACCAUCGGAUGUGCCCAGAUGGGAUUAGCGAGGAGGUGGGGUAACGGCUAACCUAGGCGACGAUCCAUAGCUGGUCUGAGAGGAUGACCAGCCACACUGGAACUGAGACACGGUCCAGACUCCUACGGGAGGCAGCAGUGGGGAAUAUUGAACAAUGGGCGCAAGCCUGAUGCAGCCAUGCCGCGUGUAUGAAGAAGGCCUUCGGGUUGUAAAGUACUUUCAGCGAGGAGGCGUUACUCGCAGAAGAAGCAUCGGCUAACUCCGUGCCAGCAGCCGCGGUGAUAC